UGUGUGUGUGUGUGUGUGUGUGUGUGUUACUUUAUAUGUUUUACAGUCUUCCUUUCACUAUGAACAGCGGUAUACUGCUUUUGCUUUUGUGUAUGAUUACCUUAGAAAACUCUUUCAAAAACUCAAUGUAAGCAAGUUAUUUUGUUUUGUCCUAUAUAUAUCUGGUCAACUUUGCUUAAAUGCAAUUGAUUUGAGUUGAACUAGAACAAUAAUUAAAUCAACGUUAUAAUAAUCAGUAUAUUAAUAAAGUCUGAACUGUUUGUGUGAUGUGUUGUCUGUCACCGAUCAAGUGUCAAUUGAUGGGGAGUAAUAUUUAUUUACAACGUGAAUAAUUGACAUUUUUUUUAUAUAGCAGGAAAAUAUCGAAAUAUAAUUUCCUAUGUUACUUGUUACGUGUGCUGAAUACUAUCAGAUUUUUACAUAACAGUUUUCAUUUUAGAUGUCUUACCAACCCUAGGUCAAACUAUCGGCGCUCGGGGGCUAAUUUUUACUGGUGCAUAUACUUUGCUUUGUAAAUAGGUGUUGUAUAAAAAUGUUGAACUUUGAACAUAUCCAUCCUUAUGGUGUUCUGAGCAAUUUAUUCUUUAAGUCAACAAACUCAAAACGUUUUUUUAUUUGUCAUUUUUUUGACAAAUUCACACUGACGUUUUCUGUAUUGACAAAAAUGUAUUAAAGUCAUUUAUGACAAGUUUCUUGAAAUUAUAAUCAUAAGGAAAUGAUUGAACCGAUGCAUGUUUUUAUACUAAACUAAGACCUAUACGCACAAAUACAUAUCGUAUCAUCGACAACGGAAGUAUAUUUCAGGUAUAUUGUAGAAGAUUACUGAUCGUGAUUUUGACAAACAAUUCACACUUUAUCAUGGAGCUAGUGAAUAGGUAGUGAGAUGAUAGAUCAAUGUUUCUUUUUAUAUAAUUUAUAUUUCCUACUUUUACAUUUGUUACUCCAACUUUGUCAUUACACAGCUGUUGAAAGAUUAAGUGUUUAUUUUUUCAGAACCAA
rnacentral:lncRNA from 1 species